UGGCUAACCUGCCCUUGGGACAGGGACUACCCCGGGAAACUGGGGCUAAUCCCUGAUAGGUGAGAACUCCUGGAAUGGGUCCUCGCCGAAAGGGCGUCUUGACCAUGCUUCUAGGUGCUGCCCAAGGAUGGAUCCGCGGUCGAUCAGGUUGUUGGUGAGGUAACGGCUCACCAAGCCUUUAACCGGUAUGGGCCGUGAGAGCGGGAGCCCGGAGAUGGGUACUGAGACAAGGACCCAGGCCCUACGGGGCGCAGCAGUCGCGAAAACUCCGCAAUACGCGAAAGCGUGACGGGGCUAUCCCGAGUGCCGUCCGCUAAGGAUGGCUUUUCCCCAGUGUACAAAGCUGGGGGAAUAAUGAGAGGGCAAGUCUGGUGUCAGCCGCCGCGGUAAUACCAUCUCUCCGAGAGGUGGAGAUGCUUAUUGGGCCUAAAGCAUUCG
rnacentral:rRNA from 1 species